UUUCUCUAUAGAACUCUCCGUUUUUCUCUUGAGUGGGGCCCGGUGUGGCAAUGGCUAUAAACCAGCAGCCUCCUCGGUAGUGAACACAGCCUGCUGCUUAAAUGUGCUACCCUGAGGGACCUUCAGACAGCA